GCCGUAGGAAAGCAGCCUUGGAUUUUUUUCACGCUAUAUCUCUGAUUUUUGCUUGAAACUUCAGAACUUUCAAAGCAGUCGAUGCUGAAGUGGAUGCAAGAAGGGUCUGGUGACAUCUGAAGGGAUGGCUGCAUGUUGCACAGAGCAGGAGGGGACCCUGCUGCAUCCAGACCAAAGGGCCCUGCACAGGAAUGAUGAAUGGGGAUUUGAACUUGGGCCUCCCCGGUCGUAAUCCAACAGUCUAACACCUAUACCAUGCUAACGCUCUUGUGUAUGGCUCUCUAUGCCUUAUAUGCCUAAUUUACCAUGCCUUAUUGAUGCAUUUCAUAUUUCAUUGCUUGUAUGUAUUCUUAUGAACCUCCGAUCAUUAAUUUAAGAGAAAUCAGGAUAGUAUCUGUGCUCUUUGAGUUUCAGCGUGCCUCCUUGGCUAUGCCUUCACCCCUUUGGGAAGACCACUGGGGUAACUGGAGGACCCUGGUCCACAGUGGCAGCUUGGAGCCAGAACUCAUACUGAGCCAGAACACCAGCAGUGCUGCUGGCUUGCCUUGCAGCCCGGUGCAUAGGGAGGGCUCCGUGAUCCUCAGGGACAUAUUUCUGGCAAUGAACAGGGCUUUUGCGGGCAGUGGAGAGCAACAAAAACCACUUCCACGUCCCUCUCCACCUGCACUGUGCUGUGAGGUACGCUGGCAACACAGUUAGUGUUCAGGCUCCAUGUGAGGGCAGAGUUCUUGCUCCACUCUCAAAGCUGUGGAGAAAAUGGACCACCAUCCUUCUAAGGCAUAGUAACAGGGUGUUUGAAGCUUUCUACCUCAUGCCAUAUUUUUUUUUGACAUAAACUGGCCUCUUAUGAGGGGGAAAGUACAGAUAUCAAAUUAAAAGGUGUCAUGCCCCCACUCCCUGCUGUUUAGAAAAGACAAAGUUGUUGGGAGAGAUGAUCACAGACUCCAGGAUCCCUGGGUAGUUGCACUGACUCUUGGGAAUUCCUUCAAACACAGCCGUGGUAGAGAACCAGGCGUGAUAAGAGCCAGCAUGGUGUAGUGGUUAGUCAUGGAUUAGGCCUGGGGAGAUGAGCUCAAAUUUACAUUCAGUCAGAAAGUGAACCUUCUCUAGGGUUGCCCUAGGGCUCUGGAACACACUCCCAAAUGAAAUCAGAACCACCCCAUCUCUGGCUGCUUUUCAGAGACUUUUGCAAACAUACCUAUUAUAUCAGAUUUUAGUUUAUAACAUUUUAA